UAUUAAAAAAUUCAUCCAAUUCUAUUAUUAAAAACUUGCAUGGAUGGUGAAAUAAACAAAUAGUUAGUUACAUGUGGCAUGUCACGUCUAACUCAUGCUAAUAUAUAGAGAGUAGUCUUUAACAGUAGAAAUGUAUAAGAUUUUUAAUA
rnacentral:pre_miRNA from 1 species